AUUGGACGCUGGCGGCAGGCCUAACACAUGCAAGUCGAGCGGAUGAAGGGAGCUUGCUCCUGGAUUCAGCGGCGGACGGGUGAGUAAUGCCUAGGAAUCUGCCUGGUAGUGGGGGAUAACGUCCGGAAACGGGCGCUAAUACCGCAUACGUCCUGAGGGAGAAAGUGGGGGAUCUUCGGACCUCACGCUAUCAGAUGAGCCUAGGUCGGAUUAGCUAGUUGGUGGGGUAAAGGCCUACCAAGGCGACGAUCCGUAACUGGUCUGAGAGGAUGAUCAGUCACACUGGAACUGAGACACGGUCCAGACUCCUACGGGAGGCAGCAGUGGGGAAUAUUGGACAAUGGGCGAAAGCCUGAUCCAGCCAUGCCGCGUGUGUGAUGAAGGUCUUCGGAUUGUAAAGCACUUUAAGUUGGGAGGAAGGGCAGUAAGUUAAUACCUUGCUGUUUUGACGUUACCAACAGAAUAAGCACCGGCUAACUUCGUG
rnacentral:rRNA from 1 species